GGGCCUGUAGCUCAACGGCAGAGCAGAGGACUUUUAAUCCUUUGGUUCCGGGUUCGAAUCCCGGCAGGCUCA
rfam:Chloroflexi bacterium RIFCSPLOWO2_12_FTLL_71_12 rifcsplowo2_12_scaffold_30470, whole genome shotgun sequence.